AAGAGAGUGACUGACAUGCCAUGGAACACAACAUGCUCUGUGUUCCCAUCUCAAAAGCUUUGCAAGAACAGAGGCCACAAAAGGUCACUGGAUACAGUGAAUUGAACAGGAAACUUAGCAUCACCCAAUGAUGCAAAGGCACUUCAAAUAUCUCCAGGACAAGAAACUGUAAACAGAUGCCUGUGGCCAGAAGCACAAAGUUUUACGGAUAAAUGUGUCUGCACUCACACAAGUGGAACAAAGGAGAGGCAGAAAUGUUUACUUUAUAUUUAACAGCUACAGUCUUUCAACUCGCAGUUAUGAAUAAACUCUUUUUGUGAUUAAA